rnacentral:rRNA from 1 species
GGGUCGCCUCACCGCGUGCACUGGCCUGGCCGGGCUCUUCCCUCUGCGGAACCGCAUGUCCUUCACUGGGCGUGUCGGGGAGGCAGGACUUUUACUUUGAAAAAAUUAGAGUGCUCAAGGCAGGCCAAUGCUCGAAUACAUUAGCAUGGAAUAAUAGAAUAGGACGUUGGUUCUAUUUUGUUGGUUUCUAGGACCGCCGUAAUGAUCAAUAGGGACGGUCGGGGGCAUCAGUAUUCAGCCGUCAGAGGUGAAAUUCUUGGACCGGCUGAAGACUAACUACUGCGAAAGCAUUUGCCAAGGACGUUUUCGCUGAUCAGGAACGAAAGUUAGGGGAUCGAAGACGAUCAGAUACCGUCGUAGUCUUAACCAUAAACUAUGCCGACUAGGGAUCGGGCGGCGUUCUUUCUAGACCCGCUCGGCACCUUUCGAGAAAUCAAAGUGCUUGGGCUCCAGGGGGAGUAUGGCGGCAACGCUGAAACUUAAAGAAAUUGACGGAAGGGCACCACCAGGGGUGGAACCUGCGGCUUAAUUUGACUCAACACGGGGAAACUCACCAGGUCCAGACACAAUGAGGAUUGACAGAUUGAGAGCUCUUUCUUGAUUUUGUGGGUGGUGGUGCAUGGCCGUUCUUAGUUGGUGGAGUGAUUUGUCUGCUUAAUUGCGAUAACGAACGAGACCUUGACCUCUAAAUAGCUCGCACCGCCUCGGCGGUGUUGCGGCUUCUUAGUGGGACUAUCGGCUCAAGCCGAUGGAAGUUCGAGGCAAUAACAGGUCUGUGAUGCCCUUAGAUGUCCUGGGCCGCACGCGCGUUACACUGACAGAGCCAGCGAGUUUUUCCUUGGCCGGAAGGCCCGGGUAAUCUUGUGAAACUCCGUCGUGAUGGGGAUAGAGCAUUGCAAUUGUUGCUCUUCAACGAGGAAUCCCUAGUAAGCGCAAGUCAUCAGCUUGCGUUGAUUACGUCCCUGCCCUUUGUACACACCGCCCGUCGCUACUACCGAUUGAAUGGCUCAGUGAGGUUUUCGGACUGGCCCAGGGAGGCGGGCGACUGCCACCCAGGGCCGGAAA